CCCGGAAGGGCGGGGCCCGGGCCUCUCCUGGCGGCCCUCGCGCCCUCGGGCCGGCGUCCUCCCGAUAAAUCUGACCCAAGAAGCACUGAUUAAGCACUGCCCUUCAAGGAUGCGGCGCCGCACGUUAGCACUAAAAGGCAAAAAGGAAAGAGGUGGCGUCUGCCCUCAGAGAAAAACGGUUAUUUGGGAGGGGCGAGGCUGCCCAGGCCCUGCCCAAAGGCAGAGAUGCUGAAACCCUGCAGUCCUGGGCUGGCCAGCCGUGGGCUCUGGGACCUCGCUCUGACUUAGGAUGCUGGGGGUGGGCAGCACAUCUGUAGAGCUCUUGACUCUUCUAUAGCUUUUUAACCCUUUUAACAACAGUGUCAGGAGGUCUGCUGAAGUGCCCGUUCAUCACCACUUGCUUCCUACAGCAAGAAAGGAAUGAUUGGCAUCCUGAAACUGGGGUAAUCCUUGAACUCUCUUACAUAAGUGCAGUGUUUGUCCUUUGCCCAGAUUGUCAUCUGAAUGAAUCCAACCAGCGUGAACAAUCCCACUGUAGCAGCAACAACCAAAAGAAAAAAAAAAAAAAAAAAAGGAAAAAAAGAAAGAAAAGAGAAAAGAAAAUCCAUGUAAUCUGGUGUCAGCUCCCUGGAGGAGUGCAGGGCCACAGCAGGGCCCCAUUGGAGAAGAACUGAGCAGACUCACCUGGGACACACUGAGUCAUGAUGGUGAAACUGAUCCAGGCCCCCA